rnacentral:rRNA from 1 species
CAGCACCUCAAGUGGUCAGGAUGAUUAUUGGGCCUAAAGCAUCCGUAGCCGGCUCUGUAAGUUUUCGGUUAAAUCUGUAUGCUCAACAUACAGGCUGCCGGGAAUACUGCAGAGCUAGGGAGUGGGAGAGGUAGACGGUACUCGGUAGGAAGGGGUAAAAUCCUUUGAUCUAUCGAUGACCACCUGUGGCGAAGGCGGUCUACCAGAACACGUCCGACGGUGAGGGAUGAAAGCUGGGGGAGCAAACCGGAUUAGAUACCCGAGUAGUCC